rnacentral:rRNA from 1 species
CGGAGAGUGCAAACGUUGUUCGGAUUCACUGGGCGUAAAGGGCACGUAGGCGGCUCGGCAAAUCGGUCGUGGAAUCUCGACGCUUACCGUCGAAACGGCGGCCGAAAAUACCGGGCUCGAGGGCGUGAGGGGUCACUGGAACUCCUGGUGAAGCGGUGAAAUGCGCAGAUAUCAGGAGGAACGCCGGAGGCGAAAGCGAGUGACUGGCGCGUUCCUGACGCUGAGGUGCGAAAGCUAGGGGAGCAAACAGGAUUAGAUACCCUGGUAGUCCUAGCCGUAAACGAUGGACACUGAGUGAAGGAGGACUUGCCCUUCUUUGCUGCAGCUAACGCGUUAAGUGUCCCGCCUGGGGAGUACGGCCGCAAGGUUA